CAACUGAACAUCCCAACUCUUCAAAUAUUGUGGAUAAUAGUAGAAAUGUAGUGAAUGCAAAUAGAAAGCUCGUCCACAAUGAUAUUGAUCGCUUCAUGACAGUCACUUUCCAAAAUAAUAUUUUGGAGGCCUAAGCUCCAAGUCAACUUUAGACCAAAUUCCAUAGCCAAAAGUUUAGACUGGAUGGGAGCACCAGAUCCAAACUUUUUAGAAAAACCAGAGAGCCAAAAACCAUCAUGAUUUCGGAGGACUCCUAAUGUCUAUGUUUCUCAGGUUACACCUGCC
rnacentral:lncRNA from 1 species